rnacentral:rRNA from 1 species
UACGAAGGACCCGAGCGUUAUCCGGAUUUAUUGGGUUUAAAGGGCGCGUAGGCGGCCAGCGCAAGUCAGUUGUGAAAUCUCCGGGCUUAACUCGGAACGGUCAACUGAUACUGCGCGGCUAGAGUGCAGAAGGGGCAACUGGAAUUCUCGGUGUAGCGGUGAAAUGCGUAGAUAUCGAGAGGAACACCUGCGGCGAAGGCGGGUUGCUGGGCUGACACUGACGCUGAUGCGCGAAAGCCAGGGGAGCGAACGGG